rnacentral:antisense_RNA from 2 species
CUUGAUCGAGCCCAACCACAGCGGCUGCUCACGAUCCCGGCCGUAGGUGGCGAGCAACGCCUGCGCCUC